rnacentral:rRNA from 1 species
GACGAACCGUGCGAACGUUAUUCGGAAUCACUGGGCUUAAAGGGUGCGUAGGCGGGUUGCCAAGUCUGUGGUGAAAUCCUUCGGCUUAACCGGAGAACUGCCGUGGAUACUGGCGACCUCGAGGGGUGCAGGGGCUUGCGGAACUGUGCGUGGAGCGGUGAAAUGCGUUGAUAUGCACAGGAACUCCGGUGGCGAAAGCGGCGAGCUGGACACCUUCUGACGCUGAGGCACGAAAGCUAGGGGAGCGAACGGG